UAUAAGAAUGCCUUAUUUUGAUCGGUUGGUCUCAUCUCUGCUGAGAUCUUGGCCUAAACUUUUGGUUUGCUUCUCAAAAUCUGCAAGGGACACAAGAUGCAACAGAAAUGAGUAAUAAGAAUGAGGAAGCAUUUCUUUUACUGACUUGAAAUUAUUCGCUGGAAUAUGGUCCUGGUUUGUUGCUACACUCCUGGUUUUGCUUAUUGUGGGAUGAGAAAAUUCUCUUUUUAUCGGUUUGUAAGAUUUAAUGUAGGUUUUAGCUCAUCUUGCUGGUAAAGGUCAGUGUUGCUUGUCCUAGAGAUCUAGGUUCAAUCCUUAUCUUCACCAUAGUUUAAAUGGUUAUGGUAGUUGAGGAAAGAUAUAUUGUAAGGCUUAUUGCCUAACAGAUAUAUUAUAAUUUAAUUAUCAAAUUUUGGUUUGAUUUAUG
rnacentral:lncRNA from 1 species